GGCUUCCCUCUCUGUGUGGGAAAGGGCCGGGCGAGUAGUGGGAGCCACAGAGCCCUCGAGAAGGGCGUGGGUGCCAGGCCAGCUCCCCACAGCCUGUCCCCCAGGGUCCAUGGAAGGCCAGGCACACAGCGAGCUCUCUGUCACUCAGCGUGUGGGCUAAGCGUUGUCCCCUCUGGCCUCUGGUGGGAGAGGGUUGAUAGGAACGGUUUUCAUCAUUUCUGGAGACUUCUUCCAGUGCAAGGCAAUGUCCCAAGCACUUCAUCUUUGGAAUGGAUUCUGUUCUUGUUCCUGAGUGCUCGCUGCUCCUCCCAAGGGGACAGUCAUGUUCCCCACCCUGAGAAUGACUUGCAGGCCCGGGUCAGUCAAUGAGGCGGGAUUGGAAGCAACAGACUUCAGCAUCGGAGUUCCCUGAGCCAUUGUCAUCGCGUUCUGCUUCUCUUCCCUCCGAGCCAGCCCCGCCGGGCCCAGAAAGGGGUGGGUCCAGGUCGUGUCUGGUUCCCAGAAUAAAGACACGCGGCCAAACCACAAAGAACAUGUAACAGGAACAAGAAAUCGACCUUUGUUGUUGUAAGCCGCUGAGAUUUCGGGUUGUUUGCAGCAUAAUCUAGUGAAAGCUGGUGGUUACGCCAUGCAUCACCACAUUUAAUCCAAAGACUAGCCCUGGGGGGUAGGUAUUCAUAUACCCAUUUUCAUCAUUAAUACUCUAACCCCUCGAAAUCCUACAGAAGUAGUCUGAACGGCUCUGACUCCAAACCGAGUCAACUUUAAAGAAACAUUGGACGAGAGCCAAACUAAUUAAAAGGGAAUUUUUUUCUUGUUCCUUUAGGAAAAAACUGGAAAGGGGUCCACGUGAAACUCUUAAUUGAAUUCCUUCUCCUUCCUGCCCUCUAUCCCCCCACUCCCAGCUGCUCCCCAGCCUGUCACGGGUUCCUCAGAUUCUCUCCCACCUUUCUUCUCCUCUGCUCUCCUCUCUCCCUGCCAAAGCAGGCUAAUUUUUUUCCCCCAUUAGAAAAAGAUAUCGGAAACCCCGCUGUGUGAGGAACGCCAAAUCUCUGCUUUUUCAG
ensembl:lncRNA